CCUACGGGAGGCAGCAGUAGGGAAUUUUGCGCAAUGGGCGAAAGUCUGACGCAGCAACACAGCGGGAAUGUUAAGCCCUUCGGGGUGUAAAGUUCUGUCAAUAGGGACGAAUUUUGACUGUACCUAUAAAGGAAGCACCGGCUAACUCAGUGCCAGCAGCCGCGGUAAUACGGGGGGUGCAAGCGUUGGCCGGAAUCAGUGGGCGGAAAGCGUUCGUAGGCGGCACAGUAAGUCUGAUGUUAAACCCCGGGGACCAAAUACGGUUCGGCAUUGGAUACUAUCUAGCUAGAAUGGGGGAGGGGUAAAGGGAAUUCCUGGUGUAGCGGUGAAAUGCGUAGAUAUCAGGAGGAACAUCGGUGGCGAAAGCGCUUUACUGGACCAUUAUUGACGCUGAGGAACGAAAGCCAGGGGAGCAAAUGGGAUUAGAGACCCUAGUAGUC
rnacentral:rRNA from 1 species